CCUACGGGAGGCAGCAGUGAGGAAUAUUGGUCAAUGGACGAGAGUCUGAACCAGCCAAGUAGCGUGAAGGAUGACUGCCCUAUGGGUUGUAAACUUCUUUUAUAAAGGAAUAAAACGAGGCACGUGUGCCUUUUUGAAUUUACUUUAUGAAUAAGGAUCGGCUAACUCAGUGCCAGCAGCCGCGGUAAUACGGAGGAUCCGAGCGUUAUCCGGAUGUAUUGGGUUUAAAGGGAGCGUAGAUGGGUUGUUAAGUCAGUUGUGAAAGUUUGCGGCUCAACCUUAAAAUUGCAAUUGAUACUGGCAGUCUUGAGUACAGUUGAGGUAGGCGGAAUUCGUGGUGUAGCGGUGAAAUGCUUAGAUAUCACGAAGAACCCCGAUUGCGAAGGCAGCUUACUAAACUGUGACUGACAUUGAUGCUCGAAAGUGUGGGUAUCAAACAGGAUUAGAUACCCUUGUAGUC
rnacentral:rRNA from 1 species